UGAGCCCAGCCUUACAAGCUUCUGUAAUCCAUAAGCAAGGCAGCUGUGUGCUCUCAUUGACCGAGAAAAAAAUACAGAAAGAAUAUAUAGCUCUUGGGUUAGUUCAGCAACACUCCACCCUCAUUUUCUUUGUGUUCCAGCCCUCAGGCCCUGGGUAUGCUCUCACAUAGUUCCUGGAGGGAACUACUGAGGGACAUGGAACCCAAUGACCACAUCAGUUGCCAUUUGCAUGUAGAAGGAACCAUCCCAAUGUAACAUGGCAGAAGACAUAAGAGGGUGGCAAGAGGGGAGCCUGAGGACAAGGCAACAUGACUAAGUGUGAACACAGCACGAAGCCGGGCUCCUCUGAGCAGCUGGUAAGAGGGCUCUCACCUCAUCUCUGGGAAGAGACGGAGGCCAGCCUGACAAAGAGAACGAGAAAACUGCCAGGGGAAGGUGAGAUACCUUUUAUAUUCAUCCAGAAUUGCUGACCAUAUCAAAAUUCAAAAGAACUUCCAGAGGUAUGUAUUUAAGACCA